UUUAGGAUUUAGGAUUUGGUUAGGAUUUGUUUUAGAAUUUAGGAUUUAAGUAAGGUUUUGAUUUAGGAUUUAGGAUUUAAUUAGGAUUGAUUUAGAGUUAGAAUUUGAUUAGAAUUUGAUUUAGGAUUAAGAUUUGGUUGAGAUUUGGUUUAAGAUUUAGGAUUUGGUUAAGAUUUGAUUUAGGAUUUAGGAUUUGAUUUAGGAUUAGAAUUUUAUUAAGGUUUGAUUUUGGAUUUAGGAUUUGAUUUAAGAUUUAAGAUUUGGUUAGGAUUUGGUUUAGGAUUUAGGAUUUGAUUUAAAAUUUAGGAUUUUUUUAGGAUUUGAUUUAGGAUUAGAAUUUAGUUAGGAGUUAAUUUAGAGCUUAAGAUUUGAUUAGGAUUUGAUUUAGGAUUUAGGAUUUUAUUAGGAUUUAUUAAGGAUCUAAGAUUUAAUUAAUUUUUGGUCUAAAGUUUGAAUGAAGUACAAUAGGAUUUUAACUAGGAUUAAAUUAAGAUUGAAUUGAGAUGUAUUUGAGAUAUAUUUUUCAUCAUUCUAAUAUUUCUUUAAGACUUCUUAUUAUUUCUUUGUAAUUACUUUGAGAUUUCUUUGAAUAUUAUUAAAGCUUGCUUAGCAUUGUCAUGGUCUAAUUAGAAUUUAGUUAGUGUUCUAUUAGAGUUAAGAUUUUGUUGUUGUAAUUUUCAUUCUACCUCUAACAGCUAGAUGCCUAGAGCAUUCUUGAGC
rnacentral:lncRNA from 1 species